rnacentral:rRNA from 1 species
CUUGACGACCAUAGAGUAUUGGAACCACCUGAUCCCAUCCCGAACUCAGAAGUGAAACGAUGCAUCGCCGAUG